rnacentral:rRNA from 1 species
CCUACGGGUGGCUGCAGUGGGGAAUAUUUGGCAAUGGGCGCAAGCCUGACCCAGCAACGCCGCGUGAAGGAAGAAGGCUUUCGGGUUGUAAACUUCUUUUCUCAGGGACGAAGCAAGUGACGGUACCUGAGGAAUAAGCCACGGCUAACUACGUGCCAGCAGCCGCGGUAAUACGUAGGUGGCAAGCGUUAUCCGGAUUUACUGGGUGUAAAGGGCGUGUAGGCGGGGACGCAAGUCAGAUGUGAAAAGCACGGGCUCAACCUGUGGCCUGCAUUUGAAACUGUGUUGCUUGAGUACUGGAGAGGCAGACGGAAUUCCUGGUGUAGCAGUGAAAUGCGUAGAUAUUAGGAGGAACACCAGUGGCGAAGGCGGUCUGCUGGACAGCAACUGACGCUGAGGCGCGAAAGCGUGGGGAGCAAACGGGAUUAGAUACCCGGGUAGUC